rnacentral:rRNA from 1 species
UACGUAGGGUGCGAGCGUUGUCCGGAAUUAUUGGGCGUAAAGAGCUUGUAGGCGGUUUGUCGCGUCUGCUGUGAAAUCCCAGGGCUUAACCCUGGGCUUGCAGUGGGUACGGGCAGACUAGAGUGUGGUAGGGGAGACUGGAAUUCCUGGUGUAGCGGUGAAAUGCGCAGAUAUCAGGAGGAACACCGAUGGCGAAGGCAGGUCUCUGGGCCACUACUGACGCUGAGAAGCGAAAGCGUGGGGAGCGAACAGG